rnacentral:tRNA from 1 species
GUCCUCGUAGCUCAGCUGGAUAGAGCGAUUGCCUCCUAAGCAAUAGGCCGCGCGUUCGAAUCGCGCCGAGGACA